rnacentral:lncRNA from 1 species
GGACGCCAGGCCCAGGUCUUGGAGACCCCCUUACAACUGACCUCCCAGGGCCUAAUCUGAGACCAACCAAGUCUGACGCCUUCGCGGUCGGUCGGUCGUUAGGACUCCACGUGCCCCUCCCUGCAGUGUCAUCUAGAAAAUAAUUCCUAGACCUGUACGUUACAGACUGCCGCUUACAAUCUGGUUCUGGGCCAGAGCGCCCCACCCGCAGAAAGGCUGGAUUCUUUGAUUUCCACAUUCACCAGCUCUCUAAAAGCAAACCCGAGAGGGAGGGCAUGGCCGAGGGUGGGGACGUCCUAAAAUAUUCGAGAGCAUUCGAGUAGGAAGAGAAGCUUACAAUAUCCCUCUACCGGCGGGUGGCGGCCUGGAGCGAGGCUCCCCGCACUGCGAGAGAAGGGUGUGUGCGCUCGCCCGGGGUUGGGCGGGGGGCAGGAAGAGGAGGGAGGAGAAGGGGUGGGGUGAGCCGAGGCCCUGACACCCUCCCAGGCUCCUCCUGCCUCCCCCUGCCUCCCCCCCCUCCCCGCCCCCUUGUACUAAGGCGCCCAGCCGGCGGCGCUCCUCUCACUGGCCGCGCGUCCCCGCCAGCGGAGCGUCCCCGCCGCGCCUCCUGCCAAGGAUCAAAUUCAAGAAUGCCUUCUGGGUUUAAUUCCCCAUCCUACCCGCCACCUCCCAGGUUUGGUUUUGUUUUGUUUUUCUUUUAAAAUCCCCAAAGCAAAAGGAAGGAAACCCUAAGCACAUUUUAGACAACAGAUGUUUGUUUUUACUGACACUCUGCCAAUUAUUUUCUGGGUGGGCUGUAAGAAAACUAGGGUAUGGACAAGACACAGAAGAGCAAAGUAAAUCGGACUUCUUGCUUUUUAGAAGUCUCCUUUUUGAAAUUACGGCCUGGAUCUGGGUCCAGAGCAAACAUUUGGUAUUGGUUUGGAGCAGACACGUUCCAAAGGAGGCCUCCUACUUCCCAGCUACUCCCAGGAGGAUCAAAAUGUGUACUGUCAUCAAUUUCUGAACUCUUACUGAUUCAUUGAGCAGAUUCUGAGGACAGGGUGCUAGCUACUGGGGCCCUGCUUCAGGAGCCCACAGUCUGCUGGGGGAAAGAAACGGAAACGUAGUUAACUGGAAUUCAGGACAUAGUUUAAAGCAGAACGACAUUAGCUGGUGAACUCCCCGAAGACAAGUACCAGGGAGUUGGGGAGCAUGCACACGUGUGCAUGCCUAAUACCAGGCCUGGAUCAUGCAAAGGAGGGGUUCAGUAUAGGAAAAGCAAAAAUGGAAAACUGAAUUCCCACCACUGUGCCUAAAUUUGUAGAGUCCAGGAGUUCCCAUUGUGGCUCAGCGGAAACAAAUCUGACUAACAUCCAUGAGGACGCUGGUUUGAUCCCUGGCCUCGCUCAGUGGGUUAAGGAUCUGGUGUUUCCAUGAGCUGUGGUAUAGGUCACAGACGAGGCUCGGACCUGGCAUUGCUAUGGCUGUGGCGUAGGCCAGCAGCUACAGCUCCGAUUCGACCCCCAGCCUGGGAACCUCUAUAUUCCACAGUGCAGCCCUAAAAAGAUGAAAAAAAAAAAAAUUUGUAGAGUCCAGAAUUCUUUUCUGAAGAGAAAACUACACAGAAAGACCUCUGAGCUUCCACUCUUCAGACCAGUAGAGGGGAUAUACAGAUAUCAGAAUAAAAUGAUUCAAUAAAAGGCGAGUGAACAAUGAAGUGGUUAGAGCCUGUGGAGCUCACAGUGAGAAGGCAGUAAAGUAGGAUAAAUCAAAACAGCAAGAGUUAGGAGUUCCCGUCGUGGCGCAGUGGUUAACGAAUCCGACUAGGAACCAUGAGGUUGAGGGUCGAUCCCUGGCCUUGCUCAGUGGGUUAAGGAUUCGGCGUUGCCGUGAGCUGUGGUGUAGGUUGCAGAUGCAGCUCGGAUCCCGAGUUGCUGUGGCUCUGGCAUAGGCCGGCAGCUGCAGCUGCGAUUCAACCCCUAGCCUGGGAACCUCCAUAUGCUGUGGGAGUCGCCCUAGAAAAGGCAAAAAGACAAAAAACAAAACAAAACAGCAAGAGUGAGAAGAGAGAGACAAGUGUCGGGUGACCAGACCUGUUGAGCAGGACACAGUCUGUUAUGGAAUGCACUCUGUUAUGUUCUCCUCUGUUCUCUGCUCUGGAAUGUACUCUGCUGUUCAUUCAUAGGCCGGCUUGCCCUUCCCAGCGCUCACCUCCUCCCGAAGAGCUCUGAGCCUCAAGGGCUUCAGCCCAGACCUGGCUAAUUACACCUCAACUCCAGCCAAAGGGAUUGAUUCAUUCGUUGGUUCACUAACAAACACUGAUUUAGUGGUUCAUGGAUAAAACAGAAUAAUUCACAGUUCUUAACUAGAGGAACCUAAAUCUAAGACAGACAAGUCUGUAAAUGACUAAAUGGAUGGAGUGUUUCAGGUGCAAGAGUAGGUUGUCUGGGGCACAGAGAGGAUGCUGCUGCCUCCCAGCCCCAGACCCAAGGCUAUCCAGUGGAAGUGUUUCUGAGCCAGAAACUAGAGUCCAACCCCUGUCCUGGAAUGGAGCUCACCGGAUGACUGGGUGGAUGGAAAUACCAGAUUCAGGUCCCCGAACUGCUGUUUUAUCAACCAGUGGUCAGUGCUGCUGCCAUCAUCCCAGCCUGAGCAAGGCCUGCCUAGGAUGGGAGGGCUGAGCCGGCUGACUCAGUUGGGCAGCUGCCUCACUCUAGAAGAGCUGCACGAUUUAUCCACCAGCCGAGAGAGCAGUGUUAAUGACAUUUCCCCCUUUUCCUUCAUCUUACUUUAAAACCAGUGUGUGGGAUCUACACCACAGCUUGCAGCAAUGCUGGAUCCUUAACCCGCUGAGUGAGGCCAGAGAGUGAACCCAAGUCCUCAUGGAUGCAAGUCGGGUUCCUGAACCAUUGAGCCAUGACGGGAACUCCCCCUCUCCUCUGGUUUUCAAAACUAUUUUCCUUUUCACGACCGUGGAUCUUCUGAUCAGCCCCUGUUCUGCCUUCUUAUUGCAGACAGUCUUCCAGACAAACAGGGAGUCUUCUGGCUGCUGUGUGCACAGCCCAUGUGCUGAGUAUACAGCAAAGGGGAUCCGGUGGGGCAGAAAAGCUCCAGCACUGGAUAAUGAGCACAGACUAGGAAGGGGUGGGUUUGGAGUGACCUGAUACCUGAGUGCUCCUCAGAGAAAACUGGUCUCAGUCUCUUGAAGAACAUAUUCAAGGGUGGCCAAGACUUCCUCAGCUUACAACCUGUAUUUCUUAGAAGUUCCUAAAUUAGCCUGUUUUCUAUUUUAGGGGUCCUUAGCCUGCUGCCUUCCCUUUCUUAAUUCUCUGGCUUUGCUGUGCAUCUUCCUUCUGUUCCACCCUGUGAAGAAAGUAAACUCGGUAUCCCACAGCCAUUUGGAGUUUCUGGGACCCUCAGGCAUUGGUUAUGAAGGACUCUGCCACUUGAGCUAGAGGUAUUUUUAAACCUCUGUGGUGGCUGACUGCUUUCCUAGUUAUUCAGAACUGGGGUGGGACGCCACACAGCCUUCUCCCAUAGGUGAUUCAUUCAGCUCAGAUCUCUUAAGUUGCUGUACUUCCAGAGCCAAUCUCGGCCACUGCCAUCUGAAGCCCACUGCCAUCUGAAGCCAGAUCCUGACUGUGUCAGAAGAAAGGAGAAAAGGUUUCAACAGACCUCACGAAAAUGCCGUCUCAAAUGGAACAUGCCAUGGAAACCAUGAUGUUCACAUUUCACAAAUUUGCUGGGGAUAAAGGCUACCUAACAAAGGAGGACCUGAGAGUACUCAUGGAAAAGGAGUUCCCGGGAUUUUUGGAAAAUCAAAAAGACCCUCUGGCUGUGGACAAAAUAAUGAAGGACCUGGACCAGUGCCGAGAUGGGAAAGUGGGCUUCCAGAGCUUCUUUUCGCUAAUCGCUGGGCUCACCAUCGCAUGCAAUGACUAUUUUGUUGUACACAUGAAGCAGAAGGGAAAGAAGUAGGCAGCACUGAGCAAUCAUGCCGCCCUGAUAAGAAUUCUCACAAAGGGUCGCUUAAGGAAUCUGCCCCCCCAGCUUCUCCCUGUAUAAGGAUUUCCUGAGCAGACUGGGACCCUUAGAAAGUGUACAAAUAAAACCCAACUCUGCUUUGAGAAGCAGAGAAAGACAAGUCAAUUAAGCCCAGAUAAGCUUUUGAUUUUUAUAUUGCUUGCAUCCUCUUACCCUCAAUAAACAAAUUUCCUUUUUUAGUUCUGAAUUUGAAA